rnacentral:rRNA from 1 species
GAUGAACGCUGGCGGCGUGCCUAAUACAUGCAAGUCGAGCGAACAGACGAGGAGCUUGCUCCUCUGACGUUAGCGGCGGACGGGUGAGUAACACGUGGAUAACCUACCUAUAAGACUGGGAUAACUUCGGGAAACCGGAGCUAAUACCGGAUAAUAUAUUGAACCGCAUGGUUCAAUAGUGAAAGACGGUUUUGCUGUCACUUAUAGAUGGAUCCGCGCCGCAUUAGCUAGUUGGUAAGGUAACGGCUUACCAAGGCAACGAUGCGUAGCCGACCUGAGAGGGUGAUCGGCCACACUGGAACUGAGACACGGUCCAGACUCCUACGGGAGGCAGCAGUAGGGAAUCUUCCGCAAUGGGCGAAAGCCUGACGGAGCAACGCCGCGUGAGUGAUGAAGGUCUUCGGAUCGUAAAACUCUGUUAUUAGGGAAGAACAAAUGUGUAAGUCACUAUGCACGUCUUGACGGCACCUAAUCAGAAAGCCACGGCUAACUACGUG